CCAACGACCUAAGAUAUAUGCCCAAACAACCUCUAAAUACAGGAUAAGCAUUUUGAGGGUGCUUGGGUGUAAAUGC
rnacentral:tRNA from 1 species